rnacentral:rRNA from 1 species
AACGCUAGCGGCAGGCUUAAUACAUGCAAGGUCGAGGGGCAUCAAGGUACACGAAGUGUAUUGUUGGCGACCGGCGGACGGGUGAGUAAUAGGUAGGUAACCUACCUCAUACUGAGGCAUAGCUGGGAGAAAUUCCAGGUAAUUCCUCAUGAGGUUAUAUGACACAUGUGAUAUAAUCAAAGGUAUCGCAAGGUACUGGUAUGAGAUGGGCUUACUGACCAUUAGCUAGUUGGUGAGAUAAGAGCUCACCAAGGCGAAGAUGGUUAGGGGUUUUGAGAGAGAGAUCCCCCACAUUGGAACUGAGAUACGGUCCAGACUCCUACGGGAGGCAGCAGUAGGGAAUAUUGGGCAAUGGGCGGAAGCCUGACCCAGCCAUGCCGCGUGAAGGAAGACGGCCUUAUGGGUUGUAAACUUCUUUACUAUGCGACUAACUAGAUUUACGAGAUAAUUCUAUAGAAUGUAGCAUAGCAAAAAGCACCGGCUAACUCCGUG